rnacentral:rRNA from 1 species
AGGGAAGAGCCCAGCGCCGAAUCCCCGACCUCCGGUCGCGGGAAAUGUGGCGUUUGGGAGUGAGCGUGCCGGGUUCGCGCUGGACGGCAAGUCCCCCUGACCGGGGCCUAUCCAUAGCGGGUGCGAGGCCCAUAGCCGUCCGGCGCGUCUCGGAUGCGAUCUCCUUGGAGUCGGGUUGCUUGGGAGUGCAGCCCUAAUCGGGUGGUAAACUCCACCUAAGGCUAAAUACCGCCGUGAGACCGAUAGCAAACAAGUACCGUGAGGGAAAGUUGCAAAGAACUUUGAAGAGAGAGUUCAAGAGUACGUGAAACUGCUCAGAGGUAAACGGGUGGGCCCUCGAAAUCCUGUGGCGAGAGGAUUCAGUCUGUCGGCGUGCGCGUCUGGCCGGAAAGCGCGGUAGGGCUUCCCGGGACCGGGGCCGUCCGACCGGGCGCUCCGCGCGCUGGCAGACGCAUUUGACUCUCGUCCUAAGGACGCUGCAGCCGGCGGGGCAGUGCAAGCGCGACGGCCUGAAGGUCGGGAGAUGGCAGGUGGCCGCUGGCGCGUCGAGUGCGCGUCGGCGGUUGUUAGCCGUCCCGUCAGUGGCCCGUCGCCCCGCCGAGGUGUCACGAGGCCCCCAGUGGGCCCUUCCGUCUCCUCCCCGAGACGCGGGAUGGACCGUUCGCUGGCGAAGGCCGACGUCCCGUCGCACUACUUCGGAGUGGGCGGGCGUCGCGUCGGCGCCGCAGGCGAAGGCAAGGCCCGUCGGGAGACCGGAGGCUGGCAGCGAGUAGGUCGGUCACCCACCCGACCCGUCUUGAAACACGGACCAAGGAGUCUAACAUGUGCGCGAGUCAAUGGGUCUUGAACAGGCCCAGGGGCGCAAUGAAAGCAAAGGCUUGUGAUCUGCAGGCCGAGUUGGGAUCCCCGCUCCCCCGUGGGCGGGGCGCACCAACGACCCGUCCCGUCCGGCUCGCCGGUGGGGCGGAGUGUGAGCGUACACGUUGGGACCCGAAAGAUGGUGAACUAUGCCCG